rnacentral:rRNA from 1 species
GAGUUUUGAUCGUGGCUCAGGAUGAACGCCGGCGGUGUGCCUAAUACAUGCAAGUCGUACGCACUGGCCCAACUGAUUGAUGGUGCUUGCACCUGAUUGACGAUGGAUCACCAGUGAGUGGCGGACGGGUGAGUAACACGUAGGUAACCUGCCCCGGAGCGGGGGAUAACAUUUGGAAACAGAUGCUAAUACCGCAUAACAACAAAAGCCACAUGGCUUUUAGUUGAAAGAUGGCUUCGGCUAUCACUC